rnacentral:lncRNA from 1 species
CCUUCCUUUUCCAGAUGAAACAAAAUUUUAUCACAUCUCAACAAUGCAACUAUGAAGGAGAUAGAUGUGUUCUCUGCCCUGGAGGAGGAUGCACCUACUCAGGGCCAGACAGCAGAGGAACCCUUCAUUUUGAUGGUGCUAAGCAUUUUAUACAUUGGACUUCUACAAUUUUACCAGAAGACAAAAGUUCCUUAUUGAAAAAUAAUUGGCAGUUCUGUGGGCCAGCACAUUUUGUUGGAGAUGAAGUCAGCAGCUGAAAGUGGUACUUGGAGUCUUGUCUUGGUGGCUCAUUUAGGGUGAGAGGCCAUCUGCAAGGCCCAACCACCCCACCUUGUCGGAAUGGAAGUUUCUUCACCCUUCAGGGAGUACUGGAUGGUGAGUCAGUGCCUCCUCAAAUUGUCAACUUGUGCACCUAAUUGGUUUUGCUUUGAUAAAUAGAUAAAGAGGUGGGCUCAGUGGUGCAUGCCUGUGGUCCCAGUGGCUGGGGAGGCUGAGGCAGAAGGAUUGCAAUUUCAAAGGUAGCAACUUAGCAAGGCCCUAAGCAACUUAGAGAAACCUUGUCUCUAAAUGAAAUAUAUAAAAAACAGGCUGGGGAUGUAGCUCACUGGUUAAAUGUCCCUGGGAUCAAUCCCUGGUACCAAAACCAAAACCAAAACAAACAAAAAAGCAAAAACAACCAAAAGAAACUUGUGUUCAAUGUGAGCCCAUCAGAAGGAAAUUAUAAUCAGCUGCCACAUGCCCCCUCUAUGCCAUGGGUACAUCUAGGGAGGUAGCUGAUCUAGAGGGAAGAGACCCCCUUCUGUGACACUCUGGAGCACUUGUACAAACUCCCAGACUCCUCCCCAUGACCUAUGAGGCUGCACUGAUCUGGGUCCCAUCUCCCUGCCCAUCUUAAUUUUGUCCCAUGCCCUCUCAUGUUGCAGGUGUCAAUCUCGGGUCCUAUAUGAAUUAUUUCCAGUUGCAAAUGGGGAGGCCUCAAUGCUUACAAGGCCUAUAAGUGCUGUGAGAACUGGAGUCUGCUGACUGAGGUGUAGACAGCAGCACUCGCCCCACUCUGAGUUCUCCUUCUAGCCAUCCACUUUAGAAGUGGCUGAGCUGAUCCGCGUCUUGGCCGGCUCUCAUGCCAGCUCCGGCUGGGCCACCCUGGAACCCACUCCUGUCGGCUGGGCACAGGAACUCCAGCAGACAGCUCCCAGUUCUACCUCCUUAGCUGUGCCAGGCUCUCAGUGCCAGCUGAGGAGGAGGCCCCCUCCUGCCUCUGCUUGUUUCCCUUGAUUGUUAUGUAAUGUUCGGCAGCAGGAGGUAAAUUCCUCUUCAAUUUCCAGGCCGGUUACAGCGCAUGAACCCCACCAUGGGGAGCCACAGUGAUUGAGCUCAGCAGCCAGGUCCCAUGCUGAGUGUCAUAAAUCAGGCCUAUUACCAGCUCCUCUUGGCGGAUGCCACAGCCAAGAACCUGCCCACUCGGAGACCCGGCCUGCUCCUCUCUGCACACAGCUAAACCAGGGCUGGCGUAUCCCCUGGGCUCGUGGGUCUCUUCAAAACAUCCUGGCUGGGAGUUGCCAGGAAUCUUAUUCUGAAGCCUUUGCCAAGACAUCUCAGACCUGAGGUUUUACAGUCUGAUGCAUAAGGAGCGAAAGCAGGCCGUGCUCACCUGCCACCUGGGUUUCCUGGCCCUGUGGCCCUUCUCAAGUCUUUCCUGUUAUACAGACCAGAACCUCUCUCUCAUAGACCUGAGAAAAGCACCCAGUUCCCAGGCCCAUCCCCAGAGGUUCUGAUGCUGUAGGUCUGCCUGAAGACACGGGAAUUGGCUUUUUUACGCGUUCCCAGGUGAUUCUGAUGCAGGUGGCUCCCGGACCACCCUUUGAGAAGUGCUGCUUGGAGACCAGCUGUAUCCCUAAAGCACUGCCUGCGAAGCGAACGCUUAUAAAUCGAAUCCUUCUUUUCCAUUUCCUUCUAUCAUUCUGCUGAAGAUGUGUUUCUCUGGGGAAGAAGAUGUGGGUUUCAAAAAUCAAUGGCAAUCACACUGAAGGAUGAAGCAAAUCUUUGACUAUGACAUAUUUAAAGGGCAAUAAUAAUGCUAAUAGUUGGGGGCAAAGUUCCAUGGUAGAAUGUUCUGCUGGUGGUUAGUGUGUCACAGGGAAAGCUCUGCUCUUGUGUCUCAGGGGCGCCACCUCUGAGUCUGGUUCUGGUCAGCCUGUGUUCAUCCCAGGUUAUGUGGGUUGUCCCAAUGCAAUCCUAAUCUUCUCUCAGAAGUCCCAGUUUGGAUGACACCUUGUUACUCUCUCUCAAUUACCCACAGGGAAGGUUCGCUUGAGAUCUUGAGAAUUUUCUUCCAAAGAGCUCUACCCUGGGGGGGGGUCUCUCUGAAGGACUUUAUUGAAUUGAUUCCAAUUCUGACUUUCACACUAUGGUCACCCUGACUCUCAGGUGGGAUGAAUGACGAAAGGAUAAAAAGAUAUUUUACCUAGUGACCAGAAGAGCAGAGGUGGAGAAUUUGGGGGUCACAGCAAACCUUUUCUGCCUGACCCCGAUUUAAGUGUCCAAGAUAAUAUUACAUUUUCCUCUCAAACAUUAAAAUAAAACAUUCAGUUAUAAUAAAUCCUAAUCAUCCCAUGAAGCAGGGCCAAGAAGGUGCUGGAAAGUACUAGAGGGAGGUAGUUAGGGCUAGAUUUGAUUCUGGAACUGCCUUCUAAUAGCUGCGUGGUUUACAGGAGGUUGGCCAUUGGAUCCUCAUUCUCUUAGUCUGCAAAAUAGGGAUAAAAAAAUCCAAUUUGGUUAAAGACUUGAGAAAACAUUUGUGUGGAGCGAACACUUAGUAAAUAGUCAAUAAAUGGUGACCAUUUUAAUCAUUAUGAUAACAACUAUUAAAAUGAGAUUUAAAAUUUAAAAAAUAUUUUCUAUUAUAUUUCUUUUUAUUUUCUUUUAGGUGAUGUUUUUCUUUUAUUUCUUCACCAGUUUCUUCUCCUGGAACUUUCCUCCGCGUCAAGGCAAAGCUAGGAAGCUUCCCCAAAAAGCAAAGAGAAAACUCAGUGUCGAAUAAAGAAGUCUGAAGAGUAGGUGUAGAAAACCCAGUGUGUCUCAGAAAUGACUCAAUAUUACUAUCUGUGGUCAAGGAACAGGGGGGUUUAUUCUUCAAGGAUUUUAUAAUUUCUUGGGAACUUUUCAGACUCUUGCAGUGUAUGGAACCUCAUGAUUAGAGGCUGCGGCUGAGCACCUUAGCAGAGGGUACCAGCAGGAAGUCCCAGAGUACAGGAGAGGCCAGUCACACCUUGGAGGAUGCUCCGGAACCAGACCAGAGGCCCAUGCCCCAUCACGGUGAUGUUUGCUCCCACUUGUCCUUUGGAAAGUAGUGGGGGUCAGAGAAGAGGGUGGGAUGAAUAUGAGGAGUCACCCCUUUGAGAGAACAGAUACAACCUCAACAAGAUAUCUGAAUUUGCCUUAACCAAAUAAGUUAAAUGAGACUUUAUUUACAU